AUCUUCUCGCAAGCGGCUUUCUGUUUAUGUUUUGGGGGUUUCAGCUGUAAAUUCUACGAUCUCCAAACUUGAUUCGAACUCCUUGUCGAGAGUGGUUGCUUUAUGUUUCUGUUUUCGAUGCCUUAGAAAAAGUGGGAGGGGCCAGAGGAGCACUUUGCCCGCCCUAUGUUCGGUCGGUGCCCUCCCGCAAUGCCCCGCGUGUACUUUGUGCUAGAUCUGCACGGUUUCAUUCCAUCGCUGUUGCUCCGUGCGUGCACGCGAGAGCUGGGGACCGAGAGAGUCGCACACAGCAGCGAAACGUGUUUUUACCAGAUUAGUUGGUGACUCGCUGUGGUCGGCUGGAGUUUGUGAUUUCUGGGAAAAGCCCGUGCUCGUCUGAAGGUUGGAGGACUGAGAAACACAUUGUGGUAGUGGAGGAAGAGAAGUUGAGUCAGACUCUGGACAGCUUUCGUGAAGACAGAAGCCGGCCUUCGCAGCUUGCCCUUCACUCCUCGAAGUUCAGGAUCUCUCAAUCAAAGUCAGCGGCUAGACACUUUUACUUCGAGCGACAUCCUCAGUGAGAGGACGUUCUCCCUUGACCACCGGCUUAGCUUAGCAGUGUUCCCAUCAUCAACCUCAUGAACACGAGAAUUAACGUCCUGGUGAAAUGAUUGGUGAAGGGCGUGGAAGAGAAAGACGCUGACAAAGGGUUCUUUGUGUCAAAGGACGAGCAAAAUGGUGUACAUUCACGUUAAUGUGAUGACCAACCAACAUCGACAGAAGGUGGGACAACAAAUUUGUCAAUCGUCGUCGCGUCGGUCAUCGCCUCACCACCAAGAUGUAGUCAUGCCCCGAUGUCAUCCUCCGUAGCGUCGUCGCAAUGAUCAGGAACAUCGCAUCGUGCGUUGCGAUGUUCGCCGUCGUGAAUUCUACGUCAGCUGUGUAUGCGCUCUGCCAAAGAUGCUCGUCAACAGGGUGUGGCUAUUACGACGCGACAACCCUGGGACGCUACAAGCAUCCAGAAACCUCAGUCAGCUUAUACACCAUCCCCAAGUCCUAUCUCGAGGAGCUCACAACCCGCUUCGGGAAAAGGCUGCUGCGUUGUGCGAUUUUAUUUUGGUAAGGUCCAGUCAAGCGGUUUUUUAGGCGUCAGGAAGAACAGAUGUCUUUUUCUACUUUUGCGGUUCAACUAUUUGGCGGGAAAGGAUACGGAGAUGACACACUUCGGAGAUCAGCUGCGGGAACGACGUGAGGUCUACAGCGCUCUCCUUUUAGACUGGUUUACGGACGACCCCUUCGCUAGUGGAUUGGAUCACCAUCGCAAGUUUUCUCUACCUGUAAAACUCCAGACGAUGUCGGAUCAGAUUCCGCUGGGAGAAGGAGGUCGUCAGGGGCCGUCGAAAGGAAGCCUGUUGUCCACGUUGGAGUCCACUUUUGUAGUUUAGUUGUGUUCUCUCUUUCUUUCUUUAUUAUUCUAUUUCUGCUCUCUCUCUCUCUCUCUCUCUCUUUCUGUCCAUAGUUAUUAGAAUCUUUCUUUCGAUCAAACUUUAUAACCAAUUAACAGCAGCUUUGUAAUUGAUGGUUAAACUUUAAGUUAUAAAAUCCUUAGAGUAAAUUUUAUUGUGCACGAUAAUUAUGUCUCCUCUCAAAGAGGUUUGUACUCGCCAGUGUACGUUUAAAUUUAAUGAGUAUUUGUCUUUCGUUACUUUUGUGUCUUUUCUAUUUACUAUCUCUAAAACCUGCAUGGAUUUCAUGCUUCCCCAGCUAUGGUCACAAUUACGUGAACAAAUAUUGCCAAAAUUAUUUAGCCAAAAUUAUUAUGUAUCGUUCACUCUGUAAGUACACUAGAAUUCAUUGUAGGACGUCGUAUCGGACAUGAAAUUAGUUUGGUGGUUGCAAUGUGCUUGUAAUGCAGGUAGUGCCGAAUCCCUUAACUCAAAUGAUUUUGUAGUUCACCAGUCAGGAUUAUAUUCGUGUAAAUGCAAACAUAGUUCUUUAAGACCCAAAGGAAAUUCUUUGGUUAAUGCUGACCCCAAAACUAUUGUGCAAUAACGUUUAGGGGAUGCAUACCUAUUUAUUAAAACAAUACCCAGCUUUGACAUGUAGAUGUCUUAUUCUAACUUUCCAAUCUAGGGGUUCUGAAGUGCUCGCUUUCUUUUCCUUUCUUUCUUUUUUCCCUUUUUCCCAAGGGUUUUCAUAGAUGAUUUAUCUAUUGAUAACUCGCUGCCAUUUGAAAUGCAAAAGGACUUCUCAGGUGUACCUUCUUGAUGUAGGAAAAGGCUCUGACAAGCCAGAUAGCGCGACAGCACUGCUCGUUGUUGUCGCGUGUUUAUGGCAAGAAUCUCCUUGUGCGCAAUGUAUCCAAGUGCUUAUUUCUUUUGUAUCAUGUACAAACUCGCUUAACCGCUUUAAACAUCUGUAUUGGCUAUGCAUUUAUGUAUUGGAAUGCAACUGUAUACUCAAACUCCAUUCACUAUGUUCACUUUUGUCCGAAAACAGUAACGGUCGUAUAAGGACUUCUAUUUUGUGGAAGUAAUAACACACCUAGCAUUUUGGUAUAGCGCAUGCGCAAGCUGACGUCAGUAGCUGAUUAGUAGUAGGAUAUAGAAGUAGAAUGGGCCUACAAGUUUUGUUUUCAUUCAGUGCCGUGUUUGUAUACAUAAUACAGCUUACAUAUUGGCUGAAAUCAAAACUUCUAAAGACCUAGUAUUUUUGCAUUUUUUGCGAACAAUACAUGAGAGUAGAGUUAGAUCGUAGAGUAGCACCGAAAUACUGCAUCUGAAAUAUGACUGUAAAGUUACGUAAUAGUUUAAGUUUAUGAUGUAUCGUAAACUUGCACUGAAUCAUGUAUCUUUUUUAUAAACUUGUAUUGAAUGUUAUUAGGAGGAGUUAGGAAGGGAGUUGUUUACGCCUUAUGACGGUUAGAAGAAGCCGGAAUGUAAAAGCCACACGAAAUUGCUGCAAAAAAUGUCGUAGAUUUAGAAUUGAAAUGGGUAUGUUUGUGUGUAUGUGUUGGGGUGAAAAAGCGCGUCAUUACAUACGCGUUAAUGAGUGAAUGAGUGUGCGUGAGGUGGUGUGUGUGUGUGUGUGUUAAUUGUGUGCGUGAUGUUUCCGUUAGAAAUAGCGUGUUCAGAAAACGGAGGACGAAUUCAGAUUUGAUGGCCCGUAUUGUACAGAAAUAUAGGAUAAAACAGUCUUUUUGUCACAUAAUUUUGUCCUGUAUUAUAUACUAGUAUCGAUGCUGAAAUAGUCGUUGUUUAUUUGGAUAUGUUACGCAAACUGAAAUGUUUCUUAUAGGUAAACAGAGGAUUUGCUUCUUUAAAGAAGCGUUAGUAUUAAUCUAAAACUCGUUUUUAUUUUCCCUAGAAGCGGGUUUUAUUUUGCAAAACUGUUGACAAUGGUGCUGAUUUUUGAUAUUUUGGAGUAGAUUUUCAUCAUUUUUUCGUUUCUAUAUCUGCUAUUUGUGUGCGUAUCAGGCUGGAGUUGAAACAACUUCAUACGCCGCAUCACCGAUCACGUCAUCAUUUCCAUGGCGACACUAUCAAACUUGUGACCAAUCACGUUGGCCGAUCGCUGUUGUUGUAGAAACCUGUUUAUCUUUCCAGCACGUGUAGCUGUCUUUGUGUCUUUAACCAUUUUAGAAACAUUUAGUUUUCAACUUGUAAGAUAUUCAUUAGAUUUAUGUUCCACUUUUUCAACUGAAAUAUUAUUUACUUAACAAUUGUUUUUUCUUCUGAAAGGAACUUUAGGUUUCGAUCUUUCCUUUUUUCUUUUGUGAUGUACCAUGAUUGUCACCAUAUUUCUCGGGGAGGGACAAUAAUCACAACAACAUUUAAGUUAACUAAUUUAAACGUCCUCAGCAAGGAAAAAAAAUGGGUUAUGCUAAUUGAAGCUGCUCCAAUACAUAAAUGCUGUUGUAUGUCUAACACUGUUUUUGCUGCAUAGUAUAGUGUAGAUAUUGAAAACAAAUGCUGUAACUUUAGGCGUUCAUUGAGCUAACAUUUAAUUAUUUUAGAUGUCGCAAAAUAUGCUGCAUUAUUUCCGAGGAUGACUCGUUAGUCAACCGUUUUUGCCGCCAGAAAAAUAAUUUUGGUGGCUAUAAGAGAUACCACUGAUAUUUGCUGCUUUGGCCAUCAGUUAUAGCCAAAUUAAAUGAUAAUCGAGACAUUCAAUGUUUGUUUGAUUUUUGCCACUGAUUUUUCGGUGAGUAGCGAAAUUGCUAUGAAAUAUUGAUUUUCGCUAAACAGAGUAUCAAACUUACGGUGAUGUCUCAAUUAUUAACAAGGUGGUAAGGAAGAGAAGAAAAAAAAAAGCAUUUGAAAGGCUCGUUUACACUAAGGUCCAAAGUCCAAACAUUGUGGAGUUCAUCAGCAACGUACAUCGUGACGUCAUGAGGUACGUUUCUAAAAUCACGUUGUUUUUUACCGUAGUGUGAACGGGGCCUGUUGUGAAAGGUUUAAAGAACGGAGAGUCAUUUGAUAUCAAAGGAGAGUUCAUACUACAAAGAUGCUGCUAGAUUACAUCUCUGAUCCAACUUUGGAUGGAGACGGUCUCCUUAACAAAUUUACACCACAUCGUUGCUGCAUUGAUCCGUAGAAAUAUGCUGUCGCUUCGUUCAUAGAGAGCUGAAGAAUAAGGCUUUUAAGAUUUAGUUUUUAAUGAUUGCCUUGUUAAAGAUCCAAAGCUUACAAACGCUCAUAGCUUAAUGCAAGCCUUAGGAAGAGGCAUGUAACAUACUGCAUGGAAUAUAAAUAUCACAGAAGAGAUAUUUAGAAAUGAAAUUAGUGCAUAUACUGUCAUCAUUGCAAAUAGAUAUGGCAGGCUAAUAAUCUACUAAUCUCCGUUUAGUACACGCAUAAUAUGCUGAUAAAAUUAUUGCUACUUAAUGCUGCAAUAAUGCGCAUGCUCUUUAUUUUAGAGUCAAUAUUAUUAUUACAUACGUGCUGCACUAAUAAUAAUAGUAGGCCUAACUGUUAUUUUAUAUGCUGCUUUCUUUGACGUAAGCUUGCAUUAAUUUAAUAUAAUUCAAAGCUAUUAUAGUUGAUAAGGUUAAUAUAAAAGUGAAGAGAUUUAAGAUGUACAAAUUGCUGCAAACUGUGUCAAUGCGCUAUACACGCAAAAAAGACCGGUUGUACACCACAAAGUUGCUGCAAUGUAACUCAAAGUAGUCGGAGUUGAAGCCGUUGUCAUUCAUCGACUUUGAGUAACUAGUUUGGUGAAACAAUUAUUAUUAUUAUUAUUAUUAUUAUUAUUAUUAUUAUUAUGUGUAUGGUAGCUUUAAACCUACUAAUUGCUGCAAAAAUGUCUAUACCGUGCUUGACACACGCUAGACAAAACUACACCACAUCAUGGCUGCAUACGAUAGUAGAAAUAGAUUCAUUACGAAAAAAUGGUGUUGGCGGAUUACCAUAGCGUUUAUAAAAAAUGUGUAGAUAUUCGUUUAGUUCCUGACUGUUAACAGUUUCCAUAGACAGAUUUGACCCGGGUUAAAGUGUUAAACAUGCGGACAACAUGAAAGGCGUAUACAACUUAUUUUCUUUUGUAUUGAUUGUUUAGUAAAAAUCAUACGCUCUCUGUAUCUUGAACACUUUCCAUCAUAUUGUAUUGCACGCAUAUUUCGCAAAUUACUAUAUUUUAGAUCAUUAUAUAUGUCUUGUUGUCCCAUUUAUUGUAUAUAUAUAGUUUGCAUAUCUGUACACACAAUAGUAUGUUUUGUGUAUUUGGUGGACAGAUUGUAAAUGUUAAACUGGUAGAACACUUCAUAUAAUAACGAUCGAACUGUACAAUAUGUAUACACCUUAAUCUUCUUUUGCUCUUUUGAUAACAUUUUAUUCAUGUUACGAAUAUGAAAUACUACCUUAAUGGAGUUAUUAACAACGAUUUGAUGAUGCAUACGAAUGAAAGUUUACACGGAUCUAAUUUCGAUACCUCAUUGAUAGAUUUCCUUCCAGAAAUAUUAUUGUGUAGUAAAUUAAUUUCUCAAUUGAAUUAGAAAGGAGGGAGGAUGUAUUUUAAAAUGCAAGUCGUGUGUGUGGGUGUCCUUCGUUGUAUUUCUUUCAUUUGUAUUUGUUCGAUCGAAUUCAGGGUACUUUUGUAUAGCCCCCCUCAACAGAAAAAUCCGUCUACACAUUCAUCAUCCACAAAUGUUUCUCAGAUAAAAUUACCUGGGCACUUGUGAUGAUCAAGGGUGUGUGAGUAUUGAUAUAAUGUAUAGGUGUACAUUGUCUGUAUUAUGCAAACUUUAUUUUAGUCAGGGUAAUUUUUUUAAUCCCAAACGAGCACAGUUGAGAUCAUUUGGUGUGAACAACUCCUGUAUGCGUCGUUAGAGAAACGUCAAGUUCCCUCGUCAUGUUCAGACAAAUACAUGUACUGUUAUAUUGUCAAUCGAAAAAUGUGAAAUGUGCCAUUAAAUAAAAAUGUGAACGUAGAGUAAGUAUUUCAUUGGACUAUUAUCAUUUUAAUUUGAACGGAUAUUGGAUUGUGUAGUACUGAUGUUAUUAGACAAAAAGAAAAUAAUAAUUUCAAUUGUUGAUGAUGUCAAUCUUGUAAUAUUUCCGUAUAUGUUGUAGUUCUUGCGUCCAUGAAUAUUUGGUAUCUCAGGAUAUUUGGAUAAUAACUUUUCGUCGCUUUCCUUUCUUGUUUUUAGAUUGUAGAAUUGUUAUUAAGCUUGUAGAUAGGAUAGGAUAGGAUAAAUUCGUAGUAGAAUAUUGGUAGUGUAUUAGUAGCAUGUAGGUAGUAGUACAUCUAUAUUAUUCUAUCCUCACUUUGUUUUCCCAGCAUUUAUCGAAAGAAAAAGAACCAGUAUGGAACGUUAUACUUUGUCGAUAUUUUUUUUCUUUCAGAAAUGUUGUACUUCAUUUUGUAAUCAGGUGAUGCAUGUUGGGAACGUCGGGCAUUAUUUACAAUGUUGUUUUAUUUGUUUAUUUUUUCAUAUAUUAUCGUCGCGGGUUGUUUUGGUAUGUAUUGGUAUACUUGAUUAAUGGGUGCUCUGCAGGAAUUAUAUUUUGAUCGUCUUACAUCAAAUUAUUUCAAAAUUGCUUGUAUAAUCUUUGAUAUUUUUUAAAGAAAAUCUGUAAAAACAUUAUCAUUAGUCUUAAAGUCGUCUUGCUGACAUAAUAAUUGUUCUCAUUGCUCUAAAAAAAUCGUAAACGAGUAUAACUUUGACGAAUGAUGAUCAUUCAUUCUUAAUUUUCCCAAACAAGUUCUUUUGAAAUUGAAGAGCAUUAAUUUUUUAUUUGAUCUCGACUUUUAAGUGUGAAAUGCCAAACAGAGAAAAAAAUGUCAAUGCACUGUAAUUAGCAUGUAAAUUAACUGUAAAUUCUUUAUUUUGAUGUAAAUAAAUGAUUUAAAAGCUGAAUCGUA
rnacentral:lncRNA from 1 species